GAUGAACGCUGGCGGCAUGCCUAAUACAUGCAAGUCGAACGAGCUCUUCGGAGCUAGUGCGAACGGGUGAGUAACACGUAGGAAACCUACCCAUAAGGACAGGAUAACUACUGGAAACGGUAGCUAAUACUGGAUAGCAUACUUUAUCGCAUGAUUUAGUAUUUAAAGAAGCGUAUGCUUCACUUAUGGAUGGUCCUGCGGCGCAUUAGCUAGUUGGUAGGGUAAAGGCCUACCAAGGCGACGAUGCGUAGCUGAGCUGAGAGGCUGAUCAGCCACACUGGAACUGAGACACGGUCCAGACUCCGUACGGGAGGCAGCAGUGGGUAAGUUUUGGGCAAGUCGGGGGAAACCCUGACCCAGCAACGCCGCGUGGAGGAAGUAAGGUUUUCGGAUCGUAAACUCCUGUCCGGAGGGACGAAGCAAGUGACGGUACCUCUGGAGGAACGCCCCGGCUAACUCCGUG
rnacentral:rRNA from 1 species